rnacentral:rRNA from 1 species
GAUGAACGCUGGCGGCGUGCCUAAUACAUGCAAGUCGAGCGAACGGACGAGAAGCUUGCUUCUCUGAUGUUAGCGGCGGACGGGUGAGUAACACGUGGAUAACCUACCUAUAAGACUGGGAUAACUUCGGGAAACCGGAGCUAAUACCGGAUAAUAUUUUGAACCGCAUGGUUCAAAAGUGAAAGACGGUCUUGCUGUCACUUAUAGAUGGAUCCGCGCUGCAUUAGCUAGUUGGUAAGGUAACGGCUUACCAAGGCAACGAUGCAUAGCCGACCUGAGAGGGUGAUCGGCCACACUGGAACUGAGACACGGUCCAGACUCCUACGGGAGGCAGCAGUAGGGAAUCUUCCGCAAUGGGCGAAAGCCUGACGGAGCAACGCCGCGUGAGUGAUGAAGGUCUUCGGAUCGUAAAACUCUGUUAUUAGGGAAGAACAUAUGUGUAAGUAACUGUGCACAUCUUGACGGUACCUAAUCAGAAAGCCACGGCUAACUACGUGCCAGCAGCCGCGAUAAUACGUAGGUGGCAAGCGUUAUCCGGAAUUAUUGGGCGUAAAGCGCGCGUAGGCGGUUUUUUAAGUCUGAUGUGAAAGCCCACGGCUCAACCGUGGAGGGUCAUUGGAAACUGGAAAACUUGAGUGCAGAAGAGGAAAGUGGAAUUCCAUGUGUAGCGGUGAAAUGCGCAGAGAUAUGGAGGAACACCAGUGGCGAAGGCGACUUUCUGGUCUGUAACUGACGCUGAUGUGCGAAAGCGUGGGGAUCAAACAGGAUUAGAUACCCUGGUAGUCCACGCCGUAAACGAUGAGUGCUAAGUGUUAGGGGGUUUCCGCCCCUUAGUGCUGCAGCUAACGCAUUAAGCACUCCGCCUGGGGAGUACGACCGCAAGGUUGAAACUCAAAGGAAUUGACGGGGACCCGCACAAGCGGUGGAGCAUGUGGUUUAAUUCGAAGCAACGCGAAGAACCUUACCAAAUCUUGACAUCCUUUGACAACUCUAGAGAUAGAGCCUUCCCCUUCGGGAGACAAAGUGACAGGUGGUGCAUGGUUGUCGUCAGCUCGUGUCGUGAGAUGUUGGGUUAAGUCCCGCAACGAGCGCAACCCUUAAGCUUAGUUGCCAUCAUUAAGUUGGGCACUCUAAGUUGACUGCCGGUGACAAACCGGAGGAAGGUGGGGAUGACGUCAAAUCAUCAUGCCCCUUAUGAUUUGGGCUACACACGUGCUACAAUGGACAAUACAAAGGGCAGCGAAACCGCGAGGUCAAGCAAAUCCCAUAAAGUUGUUCUCAGUUCGGAUUGUAGUCUGCAACUCGACUACAUGAAGCUGGAAUCGCUAGUAAUCGUAGAUCAGCAUGCUACGGUGAAUACGUUCCCGGGUCU